AUUGAACGCUGGCGGCAGGCCUAACACAUGCAAGUCGAACGAGUGGCGGACGGGUGAGUAAUGUAUGGGAAACUGCCUGAUGGAGGGGGAUAACUACUGGAAACGGUAGCUAAUACCGCAUACCAUCAGAUGUGCCCCGAUGGGAUUAGCUAGGUGGUGGGGUAACGGCUCAAAAAGGCGACGAUGCCUACCUGGGCUGAGAGGAUGACCAGCCACACUGGAACGUAGACACGGUCCAGACUCCUACGGUAGGCAGCAGUGGGGAAUAUUGCACAAUGGGCGCAAGCCUGAUGCAGCCAUGCCGCGUGUAUGAAGAAGGCCUUCGGGUUGUAAAGUACUUUCAGCGGGGAGGCGUUACCCGCAGAAGAAGCACCGGCUAACUCCGUGCCAGCAGCCGCGGUAAUUC
rnacentral:rRNA from 1 species